ACUCAAAGGAAUAGACGGGGGCCCGCACAAGCGGUGGAGCAUGUUGUUUAAUUCGAUGCAACGCGAAGAACCUUACCGCCCCUUGACAUCCUCGGAACUUGGCAGAGAUGCCUUGGUGCCUUCGGGAGCCGAGAGACAGGUGCUGCAUGGCUGUCGUCAGCUCGUGUCGUGAGAUGUUGGGUUAAGUCCCGUAACGAGCGCAACCCCUAUCCUUAUUUGCCAGCGGGUCAAGCCGGGAACUCUAAGGAGACUGCCGGUGACAAACCGGAGGAAGGUGGGGAUGAGGUCAAGUCAUCAUGGCCCUCACGGGGCGGGCUACAAACGUGCUACAAUGGCGCGUACAAAGGGCUGCUAUCCCGCGAGGGGGAGCAAAUCCCAAAAAACGCGUCGUAGUCCGGAUUGGGGUCUGCAACUCGACCCCAUGAAGUCGGAAUCGCUAGUAAUCGCGGAUCAGAAUGCCGCGGUGAAUACGUUCCCGGGCCUUGCACACACCGCCCGU
rnacentral:rRNA from 1 species